rnacentral:piRNA from 1 species
ACAAGAGAACCUGGCGGCAGGGAUGGC